rnacentral:rRNA from 1 species
ACAGCAGCCGCCGCGGUAAAACGGAGGGCGCGAGCGUUACCCGGAUUUACUGGGCGUAAAGGGCGUGUAGGCGGCCUGGGGCGUCCCAUGUGAAAGGCCACGGCUCAACCGUGGAGGAGCGUGGGAUACGCUCAGGCUAGAGGGUGGGAGAGGGUGGUGGAAUUCCCGGAGUAGCGGUGAAAUGCGCAGAUACCGGGAGGAACGCCGAUGGCGAAGGCAGCCACCUGGUCCACUUCUGACGCUGAGGCGCGAAAGCGUGGGGAGCAAACCGGAUUAGAGACCCCCGUAGUCCCUGUCUCUUAUAC